rnacentral:rRNA from 1 species
AGAGUUUGAUUCUGGCUCAGGAUGAACGCUAGCUACAGGCUUAACACAUGCACGUCGAGGGGCAGCAUGACCUAGCAAUAGGUUGAUGGCGACCGGCGCACGGGUGAGUAACACGUAUCCAACUACCGGUUAUUCCGGGAUAGCCUUUCGAAAGAAAGAUUAAUACCGGAUAGCAUAGCGAGAAGGCAUCUUCUUGUUAUUAAAGAAUUUCGAUGACCGAUGGGGAUGCGUUCCAUUAGUUUGUUGGCGGGGUAACGGCCCACCAAGACAUCGAUGGAUAGGGGUUCUGAGAGGAAGGUCCCCCACAUUGGAACUGAGACACGGUCCAAACUCCUACGGGAGGCAGCAGUGAGGAAUAUUGGUCAAUGGACGAGAGUCUGAACCAGCCAAGUAGCGUGAAAAGGAUGACUGCCCUAUGGGUUGUAAACUUCUUUUAUAUGGGAAUAAAGUGAGCCACGUGUGGCUUUUUGUAUGUACCAUACGAAUAAGGAUCGGCUAACUCCGUGCCAGCAGCAGC